rnacentral:rRNA from 1 species
UACGGAGGGAGCUAGCGUUAUUCGGAAUUACUGGGCGUAAAGCGCACGUAGGCGGCUUGAUAAGUAAGAGGUGAAAGCCUGGAGCUCAACUCCAGAACUGCCUUUUAGACUGUCUCGCUUGAAUCCAGGAGAGGUGAGUGGAAUUCCGAGUGUAGAGGUGAAAUUCGUAGAUAUUCGGAAGAACACCAGUGGCGAAGGCGGCUCACUGGACUGGUAUUGACGCUGAGGUGCGAAAGCGUGGGGAGCAAACAGG